GGAUAAUUCUUGAGAUUCNNAUGGUCCCNUUUUAAAAAAAUGGCUCCGGGCUAUCACUACGGGGAUGGGCCCGCGGCGCAUUAGCUAGUUGGUGAGGUAACGGCUCACCAAGGCGACGAUGCGUAGCCGACCUGAGAGGGUGAUCGGCCACACUGGGACUGAGACACGGCCCAGACUCCUACGGGAGGCAGCAGUAGGGAAUCUUCCGCAAUGGACGAAAGUCUGACGGAGCAACGCCGCGUGAGUGAUGAAGGGUUUCGGCUCGUAAAGCUCUGUUGUUAGGGAAGAACAAGUACCGUUCGAAUAGGGCGGUACCUUGACGGUACCUAACCAGAAAGCCACGGCUAACUACGUGCCAGCAGCCGCGGUAAUACGUAGGUGGCAAGCGUUGUCCGGAAUUAUUGGGCGUAAAGCGCGCGCAGGCGGUCUUUUAAGUCUGAUGUGAAAGCCCCCGGCUCAACCGGGGAGGGUCAUUGGAAACUGGGAGACUUGAGUACAGAAGAGGAGAGUGGAAUUCCAC
rnacentral:rRNA from 1 species